GAUGAACGCUAGCGGCAGGCCUAACACAUGCAAGUCGAGGGAGAAGCCCUUUCGGGGGCAGAAACCGGCGCACGGGUGCGUAACGCGUAUGCAACCUACCUUUCACAGGGGGAUAGCCCGAAGAAAUUUGGAUUAAUACCCCAUAAUAUUAUUGGAUGGCAUCAUUUGAUAAUUAAAACUGCGGUGGUGAAAGAUGGGCAUGCGUCCUAUUAGCUAGUUGGAGUGGUAACGGCACCCCAAGGCUACGAUAGGUAGGGGUCCUGAGAGGGAGAUCCCCCACACUGGUACUGAGACAGGGACCAGACUCCUACGGGAGGCAGCAGUGAGGAAUAUUGGUCAAUGGUCGGAAGACUGAACCAGCCAUGCCGCGUGCAGGAAGAAUGCCUUAUGGGUUGUAAACUGCUUUUAUAUGGGAAGAAUAAGGCGUACGUGUACGUUGAUGACGGUACCAUAUGAAUAAGCAUCGGCUAACUCCGUGC
rnacentral:rRNA from 1 species